CUUCCCCUGCGGUGUCCGUUUAGGUCUUAUAUUCUCUGAACCAAUUUGUAACCAGGUUGCCGACUCAAGCAGUUCCGGUGUGCGCGUCCGACUCGGAAGCGCCUGAAGGGGCUCGGAAGGCGACCACCUUGAACCUUCGGUUCAAGAUGCAGGCCUGACGGCACAUGCGGGGGUCCC
rnacentral:other from 1 species